rnacentral:rRNA from 1 species
AACGAACGCUGGCGGCAGGCCUAACACAUGCAAGUCGAGCGAAGCCUUCGGGCUUAGCGGCGGACGGGUGAGUAACGCGUGGGAACGUGCCCUUUGCUACGGAAUAGCCCCGGGAAACCGGGAGUAAUACCGUAUGUGCCCUUCGGGGGAAAGAUUUAUCGGCAAAGGAUCGGCCCGCGUUGGAUUAGGUAGUUGGUGGGGUAAUGGCCUACCAAGCCGACGAUCCAUAGCUGGUUUGAGAGGAUGAUCAGCCACACUGGGACUGAGACACGGCCCAGACUCCUACGGGAGGCAGCAGUGGGGAAUCUUAGACAAUGGGCGCAAGCCUGAUCUAGCCAUGCCGCGUGAUCGAUGAAGGCCUUAGGGUUGUAAAGAUCUUUCAGGUGGGAAGAUAAUGACUGUACCACCAGAAGAAGCCCCGGCUAACUCCGUGCCAGCCGCCGCAGUAAAAC